rnacentral:rRNA from 1 species
UAGGGAAUCUUCCGCAAUGGGCGAAAGCCUGACGGAGCAACGCCGCGUGAGUGAAGAAGGAUUUCGGUUCGUAAAGCUCUGUUGUUAGGGAAGAAUGAUUGUGUAGUAACUAUACAUAGUAGAGACGGUACCUAACCAGAAAGCCACGGCUAACUACGUGCCAGCAGCCGCGGUAAUACGUAGGUGGCAAGCGUUGUCCGGAAUUAUUGGGCGCAAAGCGCGCGCAGGUGGUUUAAUAAGUCUGAUGUGAAAGCCCACGGCUCAACCGUGGAGGGUCAUUGGAAACUGUUAAACUUGAGUGCAGGAGAGAAAAGUGGAAUUCCUAGUGUAGCGGUGAAAUGCGUAGAGAUUAGGAGGAACACCAGUGGCGAAGGCGGCUUUUUGGCCUGUAACUGACACUGAGGCGCGAAAGCGUGGGGAGCAAACAGGAUUAGAUACCCUGGUAGUCCACGCCGUAAACGAUGAGUGCUAAGUGUUGGUCUCAUAAGAGAUCAGUGCUGCAGCUAACGCAUUAAGCACUCCGCCUGGGGAGUACGACCGCAAGGUUG